GGCUCGGUAGCUUAGUUGGUAAAGCGCUUGACUAGCAUACGAGAGUCCUGGGUUCGAAUCCCAGCCGAGCAC
rnacentral:tRNA from 1 species